GACCGCGUAGCUCAGUUGGCAGAGCAUUGGGCUAGUAUUCCAAAGGUCGUAGGUUCGAUUCCCACCGUG